GAUCAUGGCUCAGAACGAACGCUGGCGGCAGGCCUAACACAUGCAAGUCGAACGCUGUAGCAAUACAGAGUGGCAGACGGGUGAGUAACGCGUGGGAACAUGCCCUUCGGUUCGGAAUAACUCAGGGAAACUUGAGCUAAUACCGGAUACGCCCUUAGGGGGAAAGAUUUAUUGCCGAAGGAUUGGCCCGCGUCCGAUUAGCUAGUUGGUGUGGUAAUGGCGCACCAAGGCGACGAUCGGUAGCUGGUCUGAGAGGAUGAUCAGCCACACUGGGACUGAGACACGGCCCAGACUCCUACGGGAGGCAGCAGUGGGGAAUAUUGGACAAUGGGCGCAAGCCUGAUCCAGCCCAUGCCGCGUGAGUGAUGAAGGCCCUAGGGUUGUAAAGCUCUUUCGCCAGGGACGAUAAUGACGGUACCUGGAUAAGAAGCCCCGGCUAACUUCGUGCCAGCAGCUGC
rnacentral:rRNA from 1 species